CUCAUUUUCCUUUGCUCUGGGUUUAAGGUACUCUUUUACAUGCGAAAGAAUGGGAGCACGCUCUCAUUUCAAAAUAUGGCUAAUGUCAAAGCCGUUUGCACUUUGGAGCCAGGCCUGUUCAAUUUUACAAAUAGCAAGUUUUUCUUACAAUCAGGGUACGGUGGCAACGUGACUUGAAACCCCCAGAAUCAUACCCGGGAUGAAUGCAGGUUUUCUUGGUGGUGAUUAUCUUAAAGGAGGAGGUUGUUCCUGCACGCCAUCCAUCUCCAGCGUUCGAAGGUUCUGUUAGCAGUGCUGUUACUUGGUGCUUCAGAGAUAUGGUGACUGGCCGAGCGCAAAGGAGCCAUGCCAGGAAAACUAAGAGCACAUCUUCAUAAAGUCCAGGCUAAAGUAAGGUCUGAGGAGAGGGAUGAGGUGUGUGUUAGAGGAACUGAAAUCAAAGAUCCGAUUACCUAGGCCAGUGGCACGGCAAACUUCAGAACUCAUGGAAUACAGCCUGUUGAUUCCUUGUGGAUUUUUAGCAUCUGAGCAGUAUCAGUGGCACUCCAAGUGAAAUGGUUGAUCUCUUCAGUACCGCUGGAGCAGAUUAAUAUUUAUUUCACUGCCAGAGGCUAUAUUUCUCUGCCCCCCCAUACCCCCUUCCUCUUCUCCUUAGACUACUUAAGAUUGAAAUAUUUGCAACUCCAAAUUUAUCUUCCUUGCUUACCACUUUUUUUUCCGAGCUGGGGACCAAACCCAGGGCCUUGCGCUUCCUAGGUAAGCGCUCUAUCACUGAGCUAAAUCCCCAGCCCCGCUUACCACAUUGUUAAUCUGAUCCUUCCGCAGUUAUUUGUGCUGUUCUUUUUGUUCCUGGCAAUAAAUGCUUUUUAUGCUA